AUUGAACGCUGGCGGCAGGCUUAACACAUGCAAGUCGGGCGAUCGGCUGACGGGUGAGUAAUGUAUGGGGAUCAGCCUGAUGGAGGGGGUUAACUUCUGGAAACGGUAGCUAAUACCGCAUACCAUCAGAUGACCCCAUAUGAGAUUAGCUAGUAGGUGGGGUAACGGCUCACCUAGGCGACGAGCCCUAGCUGGUCCGAGAGGAUGAUAAGCCACACGGAGACUGAGACACGGACCAGACGCCUACGGGAGGCAGCAGUGGGGAAUAUUGAAAAAUGGGCGGAAGCCUGAUGCAGCCAUGCCGCGUGUAUGAAGAAGGCAUUCGGGUUGUAAAGUACUUUCAGUCGGGAGGCGUUAGCGACAGAAGAAGCACCGGCUAACUCCGUGCCAGCAGCCGCGGUAAUUC
rnacentral:rRNA from 1 species